rnacentral:rRNA from 1 species
AUUGAACGCUGGCGGCAGGCCUAACACAUGCAAGUCGAACGAGUGGCGGACGGGUGAGUAAUGUCUGGGAAACUGCCCGAUGGAGGGGGAUAACUACUGGAAACGGUAGCUAAUACAGCAUACCAUCGGAUGUGCCCAGCUGGGGUUAGCUUGUAGGUGAGGUAACGGCUCACCUAGGCGACGAUCCCUAGCUGGUCUGAGAGGAUGACCAGCCAAACGGGAGAUGAGACACGGUCCAGACUCCUAAGGGAGGCAGCAGUGGGGAAUAUUGCACAAUGGGCGGAAGCCUGAUGCAGCCAUGCCGAGGGUAUGAAGAAGGCCUUCGGGUUGUAAAGUACUUUCAGCGGGGAGGCGUUACCCGCAGAAGAAGCACCUGCGAACUCCGUGCCAGCCGCCGCGGUAAUUC